AUGCAUUUCAAGGAUUCUGCCAAUUUCAAUAAUAAGCAAGAAAAAAUAUAAGAAAAUAAAUUAUACCAAAAAGUGUCUGUUCAAUUCAAAAUAUAAGAAAAACAUGUAACCAACUUUUUAAUACUUAAGUUUCAUAUUGACCUAUAUAAGAUUAUAUGAUUAUACAUCUAUAAGAAAAAAUAAGUUGUCAAUUGUUGACUGAUAUGUGUUUACACUAAAUGUAAUUAAAAAGUUAUUUAUAUUGUUAUGUACUCAAUUUUAUGUACAAUAUACCUUAACUUGAUCACUUUAUCACUUCUACAAAGUUUAACUACCAACUAAAGACCUCGUGUACAACACACAUUGUAAAGUUUGGUUUACAUAUAAAUGGUUUUGUAUUGCUAGUCUUUGCAAACAAAUUGCAACCUCUAAUAUCAUAUUUCAAAUUCAAUUGAAAAAACACUCAAUUUACUUGAAAGAAUAUUUUAUUGUAUUACUAAAAUAAUACUAUAAACAUUAUUGAAUAACAAUAAUAGAAAUUUCCCUAUGGAACGAAUAAAAAAGAUUGCAUAACCAUUUUAACUAUUUGCAUUUGAAGCAAUUAUUAAUUGAGUGGUUAUAGUAAAUUUUUAAAAUCACAAUAACCUUUAACUGUAAGAGGAAUGUUCUGUUUUAUAUUAUGUUGAAUAAGAACUUAGUGUAUAUAUUAGUGUUUAACUUGUUGUAUGACACAUUAUCUUUUUAAACUCUACAUCAAAUUAUUCAGUCCGACAUGAGAAACAUCAAUCUAACAUUAAAAUAGAAUCCUUCUUCAUUGGAGUAUAUAAUCAUAAUCAGAAGUUGAACUCCAAACACCAAAUAAAAGUGUUACAGAGGAAAAACAGAAAAAAAGAAAUACCUAAUGCUGGAAGAUAACAUAUUCACAUUGCCACUUCCACUUAAUUUGCAAAGCUUUCAAUUUACAUGUAGUGUUUGAUUCCUAUGCGCAUUGAUAGAAGCACAUCUAUAUAGUGUCUGAUUCCUAUGCACAUCGGUAGAAGCAUAAUGUAAGCGAAGGUAAGUGAAGAUUAAAAAGAAAAUAAGAGUAUCUAGGUAUGAAACUUAAUUUAAGGUAAGCGAAUUAUACAUACAUAACUAUAGAUUGAAAUUAUGAUAAACAUACAUAACUAUAGAUUGAAAUUAUGAUAAACAUACAUAACUAUAGAUUGAAAUUAUGAUAAACAUACAUAACUAUAGAUUGAAAUUAUGAUAAAUAUUAUGGAGGCUUAACUUCUGACAUGUUAAUUGCAAUCCAUCCACAUUCUGUGCAGAAUGUCAAACUGCAUUCCAUCAAUGCUUUAUAUGAUGUAAAAUUGUCAGGAAAAACAAUCUCUAACGCGAACCUUAAAAAUUGAAUUAGUGUGCUUGUCAUACUAAUAGAAUAGAGACAUGCAUUGCAUUAUGUCACCUUAUUAAUAACUGCAACAUUAGGUUGAGAUGAUAAUCACAUGAAUUGCAUAAAUAAUGAUAAAAGAAUCUCAUUCAAAAUUGAAAUUAAAUUAGUUAAUAAUUAUGAACAUAUAUAGAGUUUAGAAGGAAAGUUGUGUUUAUAUGAUUGAAACAUUUCAUCAAACAGGUUUUGCUCAUAAAGAGAUGAGUUUAAAAAAUGGAGGAAACAAACCGGAACCAUAUCUAUAACAAAGAUGUAUUUUCAAGUCCAAGUAUUCCAUCAUCAAGUAGAGAUAAAAAUUCAAACAAAUCUGCAUACUCUUAAGAAUAGGAAUGAAAGUGGAAAGGGAAAAAUGAAUGAUUUAAAGGUAAUAUGAACAAUAAAAGUUGAUUUUUUACCUAUCUUUUUGCAUAAUCAAUUUUCAUCCAUGAUUAACUUCAUAUGGUGUCUUUGCCACAAUUGACAAUGCACGUAAUCCAGAUUACAAUUUGAAAGGAAAUGUAUUGGUGAUGAAAACUCCAAUUGAUGUCAGAUCUGAAUUGCAUUGUCAGGAUGGAAUUACAUACACCCAUUCUUAGAAAAUUAUUCCUUAUCAACAACAAUAGAGAGAGAUGAAGCGAAUCAAAGUGAAAUUAAAAUGAGAAAUGAGUGUGAAAUUGGAAUGAGAAAUGAGUGUGAAAU
rnacentral:lncRNA from 1 species